rnacentral:rRNA from 1 species
UACGGGGGGAGCAAGCGUUGUUCGGAUUUACUGGGCGUAAAGGGCGCGUAGGCGGCCACCGCAAGUCGACUGUGAAAUCUCCGGGCUUAACCCGGAAAGGUCAGCCGAUACUGCGGGGCUAGAGUGCAGAAGGGGCGACUGGAAUUCUCGGUGUAGCGGUGAAAUGCGUAGAUAUCGAGAGGAACACCUGCGGCGAAGGCGGGUUGCUGGGCUGAUACUGACGCUGAGGCGCGAAAGCCAGGGGAGCGAACAGG